GUUUAGCUUUGAUGUGGGAGGUUGCGACACACCCGGCCGCUUUGCCAUGCGAGGAUGUGCCGGUAAUUUCCACGGAGCUAGUCUUAUUUUGAAAAUAGACGAAGGAGGGAA
rfam:Lactobacillus fructivorans strain DmCS_002 contig28, whole genome shotgun sequence.